rnacentral:lncRNA from 1 species
AUGCCUGCUCCCAGCCUGCUGGGCCACAGGUCAAGGUCUGAAGAGGAGCUGUCAGGGCAGAAAGCAGGACUUCAGGUGAGUAUCAAAAAGAAUGCUCUCAACAGAGAGCCUAGGGAUACGCCGGGAUGGGGAGUGCAGGGGGAAGGGGCCACCAUCUCUCCCCCUGUUAUAAGCCCUCUUACAACAAGCAGAAACAACAUGUCUAGAGGCUCUCUCUUUCCUUAACUCCAAAUGCCCAGAUGUGCUCAGAGCUCAGCCACAGUUCUUGUACCUAAACUAAAGGGAGACUUGAUUGACAAUCAAGUUGAGUAGGAGGGAAGGGGAGCUAGGCUGGAGGAGGAAGGUGGGGUGAGACGACCUCGCACACUCACACUCACACUCUCAGUAGUUCUGGGAUGUUCUGCUUUGAGGGUCUUCACUCAGCCCAUGGUCAGCCCACAUGGGAGAAUCACAGAAGGCCCAGAUGCCCUGGAGCUUUGCUCUGUGUGGGUGAACAGGGAAUGAUCUCCAAGGGAGAUAGUGGAAGAAUCGGUGUGCAGGGGAGUGAGCAUGAUACCUGUGUAAAAGGGUAGGGGAGAAGUAUAUGUAUGCUUGUAUGCUUCUGUAUUCACAGCACGGCUCUGGAAAGGUGCAUAAGGAAUUGAUGACAUUAGUUGUAGUUGCUUCUGGGGAGCGGAGUUGGGAAAGGAGGAGCUGGAAAAUAUUUCACUGGGUAUCUUUCUGUAUCUUUAAAUUUUUGAACCCCACAAAAAUCUGCCUGUCUCUUCCACCCUCUGGUACUUCAGAACCCUGGAGCUGGAUCCUCAGCCUUGCAAAGGAGAAAACAAAUGAGGGGGGUUUGUGUGUUUUUAAAUUUAUUUUAUUUUUUACAGACAGCGUCUCACUCUGUUGCUCAGGCUGGAAUACAGGGCCGUGAUCAUAGCUCACUGCAGCCUUCAAACUCCUGGGCCCAAGCAAUUCUCCCACCUCAGCCUCCCAAGGAGCUAGGACCACACACAUGCGCCACCAUGCCUGGCUAGUUUUAAAGUUUUUUGUAGAGACAGGGUACCACUAUGUUGCUCAGGCUGGUCUUGAACUCCUGGCCUCAUGAACUCCUUGAACUCCUGGAGAUCUUGCUGCCUUGACCUCCCAAAGUGCUGGGAUUAUAGGCAUGAGCCACUGCACCCAGCCAAAAGAGAGAACAAAUGAGUGGGUUUGUGUAGCUCACCCAGAAAUCGCCUGACCUGCUCCAGGUGGGAGGCAUGCUGCAGGAAGAAUGCCACCAGGACCUGCCCCCCUCACCCUCAGAGGACACCUAGGCUCUCACCUUGCCUCUCUUCUUCCCUACAAAAAGUCGGGAGACUGGAAGCCCUGCUGUCUCCUCUAGCAGGCUUCUGGGAUUCCCUUGGUGUGCCCCCAAAUGAGACUGCCUCCAAAAUGGGAUCCUGA